rnacentral:lncRNA from 1 species
GGUGACGUGACUGGAUGCUGAGGAUGAAGCACAAAAUGCCUGGCUGACAGGAAGCUGUCCAAGGAAGGGAGACACCUGGAGAGGUAUGCGCUUGUGGGGUGGGGGAGAGCAACCCAGCUGAGGAAGGAGAAAUCUGAUGCCAGGUCAUUUGUAGGGGACCUGAUCUUUCUCUUUGAAGCCUUUUACAAUCUACUCUUUAUACUUAGUGUUUUGAAAAUUUGCCAGGUUGUGUCUAGUUGUCGGUCUUUUUCUGUCAUGUGCUGGGCACUCUGUGACCUCUCUGAUGUUAGGACUAGUCUUUCUUCAGCCCUGGAAAAUUGUCUUCUGACCUUCCUUCACUAAUUCUCUCCCCUUUAAUUUCUGUUUUUUCUUUCUAGGAUUCCUAUUAGUUAGAUAUUGGAUUAUUCUAUGUCUUUUAUUGUUCUCUCUCAUAUUUCCUUUUUCUUUCUGCUCAACACUUUGUGGGAUUUUUAUCAAUUUUUAGUGCUUCUACUGAACAUUUUAUUUCACCAGUUGCAUUUUGAAUUUCCAAGAGCUCAUUCUUGUUCUCAAAAUCACACUUUUAGAAUGUAUUAUCUUCCCAACCCUGUCUUGAAAUGCCAAAAAAUUUUAAAGCAAUCUUGUGUUUCCUGAAUUCUGUAUCCCCAGGAGAAUUUUUUUUUUUUUUUUUUUUUGCUUAUUUUCAUAUAUUUCCUUCAUGCUGCUGGUUCUCACCAUUCCCACAUAUGCCUCCUUGGUUAUCUUUUGAUGCUGAAUACAAAAGAACUCUAGCUGGUGUGGGUUGACUGUGCAGUUGUGUAUAACAUCUUGCAUGAAUGGGCUUCUCUGAACCUCUCUGAGGUUUUCGAGGUGCACUGGCUCCCAUGUCCUCUGUCACCCCUCACAGAGCAUUCUAGGUUGGCUUCCUUCAGUUGAUUCCUCUAAUAACUGCUCCCAUACACUUGACGUAUUCCAGACAUUUGUUUACACCUUUCAUUUGUUAGUGGCCUCCUCUUCCCCUCGUUAAUAUUAUGGUUUUAUAUCUUUUGGGAAUUCUAAAACUUUAUUUCAGCAAGAUAUUUGGAAGGAUGGGAGGCAAACGUGUGUCCUGGGUUCACCAUCUUGAACUAUAAGGAGAUUUCAGAAAAUUUUAUUGGUUUAAUUUUAUUUUUUUACAUUUUGAAUUGCUACAUCUUUUAGCAGCUUGGUGCCCCCAAGCCAGGAGGUCCAUGAGGUUUAAGGUCUCCCCAGGAAAGUGUUGUUCACAGAUUUUCAGCAUCUUGUGGCCCUGACUCUUACAGUGGUACACACAAAGUAGGGCCUGGUUUUCCCAAAUUUCUUCCUGCGCACAUUUGAGGUUCCCAGGAAAUAGAAUGAGGGUGGCCCUUCCCUGGCCUGAGAGGUCACCACAGAGCCCGAGAGGCCCUAUGACACCGAGCAGGCUCCCCUUUGUCCUUCAUUCCAUCCUCUCCCCUCCCCAGCCUGGCUUAGCCCUCAUGCGCCCUUCAGAUCCCAGAUCCAGCACCAUUUCCACAGAAAAGACUUCCCUGUUCCUCCUGACUUGGUCAAGCUCCUCUGUCAUAUGGACUUAGGGAACAAUUUUUCUCUCCUUUACAGCAUUUACCUCAGUAGGUAAUAUUUGUGGAGCAUGACCCUGUCUGUCUGCUGUUCACCUCAAUGUCCAAAGCCCUUGAGCACAGUGCUGGCCACUACCAGGUGCUCAGUAAAUCUCUCUGCGAGAAUGAAUGAUCAGCAAGGUGGGCAAAAGAAACAUUUCUUCAGCUAACUAUACUUUGAGGAAUAACCCCCACGUGCCCAAUAACCCACAAAUGCCCCACCUAGAGGUCUGACAUCUGACUAGGCGCGGACAUCCAGGCCUCUAAGGUCGGGGGACAGCACUGCCCAAGGCCUGACACACAGGCUUCCCACGGCCUUUUGUCUGAAGCACAGCCUCUGCCCAGGGUGAGCGCCAGGGUCGGGGAGGCGGAUUCUGGUGCAGCCCACAGGGCUUGAGGCUCACAUGGCCUUCUGACCACCAAAGUCUUCUGCAGGGACGUUGUUCAGAACAAAGUUGUGACUCAUCUCUGAACAAGGCCCUUGAAGCCCAGAAGGAGGGAAAACUGCAGACUCACUCAAGGGGCCAGGAGGAACUUUCUUAGUCACAGACUCCAGGGGGUGGUCCAGAGGCUGCCCAGGAGCAAUGGCGUCGUCCUCGGCUGGGAACAAUAGAGUCCCACACCUCAGCUACUUUUUCGGCUCUGGCUUCCCAGUGGGUGAGGCUCUUAUUAAAUUUAGGAUUACCAUGUGUAAAGCACAGGCUGAAUUUUCUUUGCUCUGCCAUGUAACUUGCCUUUCCAAAUAGGCAGAGCUGCAGUUAAUCUACUGACCACGGGUUUAACCGGUGGGUGGCCAGCAGGCCCCACCAAAUUCCUCCUCGCCCUUUGUUACCUGGCCUGGAAGGCAGAGACCCCUUGUUUGGGAAGUGUUUCUCCUCCCCCCGAACAUUUUCUGUAUUAGGAGUCUUUUGUCACCGUAAGUCUGAAGCGGGGGAUUAUGACAGUAGGCUGUCACCCAGAUUGUUUCCUCCAGAGGAUAAUGGGAAAAGUUUGCGGGCUAGCCUAAUGAAGCCUUUAUUUGGGGGACAAUGCCAUUUCCAUUAAAUUAAAGCUCAAGCCUUAACAAUGCCUCACAACGAACCCAAUUUGAAUAUUUAAUUUGGGAAGGCAAGGAGCUGAGUCAACACCUUGCUCCCCUCAGCCCCUUUCUGGACGCCUCUUGCUGCAACCCUGAGGAAGGUUCCUGAGUCACUGAUGUCAGUCAGCAGCUGUUGCCACCAACAAGAAAGGUGGAAGAAUCUAAAUCUUUAAUAUUCAACUGAUAUCAAAGAAUGUUGUUUAGUCUUUACUUAAAAAAAAAAAUUCCAGGGGCUGGCCCCGUGGCCGAGUGGUUAAGUUCGCGCGCUCCGCUGCAGGCGGCCCAGUGUUUCGUUAGUUCGAAUCCUGGGCACGGACAUGGCACUGCUCAUCAGACCACGCUGAGGCAGCGUCCCACAUGCCACAACUAGAAGAACCCACAACGAAGAAUACACAACUAUGUACCGGGGGGCUUUGGGGAGAAAAAGGAAAAAAUAAAAUCUUUAAAAAAAAAAAAAAUUCCAGGAAGUGAAAAUAAGCGGCCAACUGAAAUCUGUCUCUUCUGAGCCUUGUAAGCCACACAGGCCACACCGGCCACACAGUGAGGGCUCUCCCCACCUCAAGUGCUCACGCUCCACGACCAAGGCCAGGGUCCUCUGAGAACUGUGCACUGCCUCAGACCCCAGCCGAAGUCCUCUUUCUUUGCUUCUUCAGAGAAUCUCUAAGAGAAAGAAAUGUCUACAUUUGCUUGAUUUUUUUAAAAUGGCUGUAGUGACGUCAAAUGCCAUGGAAUUUUCUGUAUCUUCCUCCUCUACCUGGCAACCAGGCAGCAAGGCAACAAGCACCCAAGAGAUGGAGUUGUGUAUGACGAAGCUGGAAGUGGAGCGUGUGGAGGUUCCGUCCGUGGUUUGUCCUCCACGCCUCCACACAGCCUGGCCUUCCAGGCAGGGUGAGGCAGGUAAUUGGGGCAAAGCGCUUGCAUUCCUAAAGCAGUAGGUUCACACUUUUAGGUUGACCAACCAUAUCUUCACCU